GACGAACGCUGGCGGCGUGCUUAACACAUGCAAGUCGAGCGGUAAGGCCCUUUCGGGGGUACACGAGCGGCGAACGGGUGAGUAACACGUGGGUGACCUGCCCUCAGCUCUGGGAUAAGCCUGGGAAACCGGGUCUAAUACUGGAUAUGACUCCAUGACGCAUGUUGUGGGGUGGAAAGCCUUGUGCGGCUGAGGAUGGGCCCGCGGCCUAUCAGCUUGUUGGUGGGGUGANGGCCUACCAAGGCGACGACGGGUAGCCGGCCUGAGAGGGCGACCGGCACACUGGGACUGAGACACGGCCCAGACUCCUACGGGAGGCAGCAGUGGGGAAUCUUGCGCAAUGGGCGAAAGCCUGACGCAGCGACGCCGCGUGAGGGAUGAC
rnacentral:rRNA from 1 species